GCGCAGCAGUCGAGAAACCUUCGCAAUGCAGGAAACUGCGACGAGGGAACUCCAAGUGCCUACGCUCAGCGUAGGCUGUUCUCAAGCCUAGAAAGCUUGAGGAGUAAGGGCUGGGUAAGACGGGUGCCAUCUGUGGUAGCAGUCAAUAGAUUCGAUUUGUUACUGCAAGGCAUAAGCCGCCGCGGUAGUACCCGCAGCCCAAGUGGUGGCCGCUUUUAUUGGGCCUAAAGCGUCCGUAGCCGGCCCGGUAAAUGCCUGGGUAAGUCGUGGAGCCCAACUUCACGAAUUCCGGGUAGACUGCCGAGCUCGGGGACCGGAAGAGGGAGAGGGUACUUCAGGGGUAGGGGUGAAAAUUUUCCUUUCCAUUAACGCUUUUGCGCGAAGCGGGGAAGGGUU
rnacentral:rRNA from 1 species